ACCUGCUUUUCCCCAUAAGAUAGCUGCAUCUUAAUUUGACAGCUGCACCAGCUUUAGAGAAGGUCUGAAGUACAUCAGGUGUAACACCAGGUGUAAACCAUGCAGUAGGGAGCACCAAGGAAAGAUCUGCUGGACCAGGGACAACACGGCGCAGCACAGUGAAAAGAUCCUGGGAGGAGCACAGUGUACCCUGCCACCCUGAACUGGAACAGGGGCUGCAGAUGUCAUAACUGGUGGCUCCUCUGUUUGCUGGGACUGGAAACAGCCUGUGAUUUGGAAAGCUGUGGGAUGUGUGGAAGAAGCAGCUCACUCAAAUCCACAGAGCACAAUAAAAGUGGAAACAAGAAGCACCUGGGAGUUGCACCUGCCUGAGAGGAAGAACAACCUGGGACUGGUGCCCGAAUUCUACCUUACAAACUGGGCAAAGGACUCCCAAGUUACACCUGCAGUGUG
rnacentral:lncRNA from 1 species